rnacentral:lncRNA from 1 species
UACUGCCUGAAGCUGCUGCACUCAAGGUAGAGGGAUCUAACCUUCCCCCACCCGGAGUUUUAGAACCAGAAGCUUGUGCCACUGUCUGCUUAACUGUCCCCUGAAUGAUGGCACCAGCCUCCAUUCUCCUAGCCAUGUCUACUAUGGCGUGAAAACUCUCUCUAUCUGCUGACUGUACCAAGGAGGAAUACCUGGGAUGGAGCUUCAUGAUAUACCUCCUCGACUUCUUCUGGUCUGUGCUAAGGUCUUGCCCUGCAAAUGGCAGCAACUCCAUAAACCUGUCAGUAUAUUCGUCUACACUCAUGUCAUCGGUCUGC